UACGUAGGGUGCUAGCGUUGUCCGGAUUUAUUGGGCGUAAAGAGCUCGUAGGCGGCCUGUUGCGUCCGCUGUGAAAGCCCGGGGCUUAACCCCGGGUCGGCAGUGGAUACGGGCAGGCUAGAGGUAGGUAGGGGAGAAUGGAAUUCCCGGUGUAGCGGUGAAAUGCGCAGAUAUCGGGAGGAACACCGGUGGCGAAGGCGGUUCUCUGGGCAUUACCUGACGCUGAGGAGCGAAAGUGUGGGGAGCGAACAGG
rnacentral:rRNA from 1 species